UUGACUUCAAUUGAGUUGAAUUUUUGAUUAGUUGCGGUUAAGGAGGAGCUAGAGUCCAAACCGUGACAAAUAGUAAUAGUGAUGUAAGGCGUGGCGUCAAGGAAAAAGAACGGAAGGAGGAAAGUGAAACCGAAGACAAUGAACUCAACGAGGUAAGGUUGGUUCUGUAUUUUCGUCUUUGUAACCUUUUGUUGCAUUGUCAUAUCGAGUUUAUGGAAGUUAGCUUUUGUCUAUUGGAAUAUAGUGAGUCGGUGACCUCUGGAAUAAUGAAAUUUAUUUUAGUUGAUUUCUUGAGCUAUACCCGAAAAAUUGAAUAAUGAUAUGUCUGGUCAAAAAAAUUAGGAGUCUUGUAUAUUUUUGUGCAUUGAGAAAUGCAUAUUGCUUUCUAAUAUAUGUUUGUGUGUAUCUGAGAUUUGACACUGGGCAACUCACGUAGCUUUGCUUAUGCAUUAGGUGCAAAUUCUGGACACCAAAGAAGCCUUCUUAAUCUGUAUUUAUUCUACUUAAUUCUAGAUACAGAGAAAGAUUGAUCCCAGUGGGCAAGGAUGUAGAUACAAGGAUGUUUUGUUUUGCAUUUUUAUAAAGAUUCUUGUAGAAUUUGUUUUUAUCUAUGCCAUCAGAAUAUGCAAGUGGACCGCAUGCUCUAUUUAUGAAAG
rnacentral:lncRNA from 1 species